rnacentral:tmRNA from 1 species
GGGGGUGACCGGUUUCGACAGGUUGACGCUAGGGCGCGAAGCGCAGGCGGGGGUUGGCCGGCUGGCCCCCUCAUCAAGCCGACCAAAUCAAAAAUGCCAACGAUAAUUUCGAACUGGCUCUCGCCGCCUGAUUUUCAGGCGAUGAGCGAGUAACCGUGACCAUCCGAUAGCGGACUCGUAAAACCUUCUGACGGGUGGCCUUUUGGCCUGCCGAAUGAAGGGCCGGAUAUGGACGCCGCCAAGGGCGAUUCAAUACUCUCCUAGUUGAACCGCUCUAAGCCCCCUAACGGCGUCCGAGACAAGGGGGCGGGGCCUUGAACAGGGUCGUCCGCUAAAUCCCUGUAGAGGCGCAUCCCAAAGCGGACCAAGCCUGUGGAUGAGCUUUCGCUUUACGCUUCUUGGACGUGGGUUCGACUCCCACCACCUCCACCA